rnacentral:rRNA from 1 species
UGGGGAAUUUUGGACAAUGGGCGCAAGCCUAAUCCAGCCAUGCCGCGUGUCUGAAGAAGGCCUUCGGGUUGUAAAGGACUUUUGUCAGGGAAGAAAAGGCUGUUGCUAAUACCGACAGCUGAUGACGGUACCUGAAGAAUAAGCACCGGCUAACUACGUGCCAGCAGCCGCGGUAAUACGUAGGGUGCGAGCGUUAAUCGGAAUUACUGGGCGUAAAGCGAGCGCAGACGGUUACUUAAGCAGGAUGUGAAAUCCCCGGGCUCAACCUGGGAACUGCGUUCUGAACUGGGUGACUAGAGUGUGUCAGAGGGAGGUAGAAUUCCACGUGUAGCAGUGAAAUGCGUAGAGAUGUGGAGGAAUACCGAUGGCGAAGGCAGCCUCCUGGGAUAACACUGACGUUCAUGCUCGAAAGCGUGGGUAGCAAACAGGAUUAGAUACCCUGGUAGUCCACGCCCUAAACGAUGUCAAUUAGCUGUUGGGCAACUUGAUUGCUUAGUAGCGUAGCUAACGCGUGAAAUUGACCGCCUGGGGAGUACGGUCGCAAGAUUA